rnacentral:lncRNA from 1 species
GUGUAACGUGUACACCGGGUAAGCGUGUCUGUUUCUAUUUAGAAUGAGUACGUUACCAGUUUGAUACUGGAUCCAAAAUUGCUCUAUUUACAAAACAUAUAUAACAAAUAAUCUUUAUUCAAAAAAUAACGUCAAUGAACCAAAAUAUGUACAACUGCUCUUUGCAAUCUUCAAUAAACUAUCCUAAGCUAUUCUACUUCAAAUAUA